GGGAGCAUAGUGUAGUGGCUAUCACGCUUCAUUUGCAUUCAUGUUUCAUCGCAUCUUGAAGAGGUCCCGGGUUCAAUCCCUGGUGCUUCCA
rnacentral:tRNA from 1 species